GGCAUCCUCAACCGAUCGCUCACGUUGCCACAUCCAGUUAGAUUACGACGUCGACGUAGGACUCGGAGCUUGACGGGGGGAUGUAGAGUUAUAUGUCUGUGAUUGUAAUUCGGUUUGCUUUUUUCCGUUAUCCACAGUGCGGCAGAGAGGUGGACGCGCAUCCGGUCAGCUAUGGCACCUUUUGGACUGAAAGCCGUUGUUGGAGAAAAGAUAAUGAACGUUGUCAUCAAGAAGGCAAGAGAAAAAGGAAAAUGGAAAGUGCUUGUGGUGGACAAGCUAAGUAUGAGGACGAUUUCCUCCUGCUGCAAGAUGACAGACAUCAUGUCAGAGGGAAUCACCAUUGUAGAAGACAUAACCAAGCAGCGGGAGCCUCUGCCCAGCAUGGAGGCCAUCUAUCUGAUAACACCCUCAGAUGAGUCCGUUGAGGGUCUUAUUGAGGACUUCAGAGAUCCACGGUCUCCGAGGUAUAGAGCAGCCCAUGUCUUCUUCACUGACACAAUUCCAGACUCCACGUUUGGACUCUUGACCAACUCUCGCGCCUCCAAAGCCAUGAAGGCCUUGACUGAGAUCCAUGUAGCCUUUCUGCCCUAUGAAUCUCAAGUUUUCUCCCUGGACAAAGUAGAUGCAUUUCAGGACUUCUACAGCCCUUUUAAAGCUGAUGUGAAGAACAACAUGCUUGAAGGGUGUGCUGAACAGAUUGCAACCCUCUGCGCUACACUGAAAGAAUAUCCUGGAAUCCGAUACAGAGGAGAGUACAAAGACUGUGCCGUUCUGGCCCAAAUGCUACAGGACAAGCUGGAUGGCUACAAGGCUGAUGACCCCAGCAUGGGGGAGGGACCUGAUAAGUGUCGGAGUCAACUUAUCAUUCUGGACCGAGGAUUUGAUCCAGUGUCACCGCUUCUACAUGAGCUCACUCUUCAGGCAAUGGCCUACGACCUGCUUGGCAUUGAGAAUGAUGUCUAUAGGUUUGAGACCAGUGGAAUGGGGGAGACUCGAACAAAAGAAGUGUUACUGGAUGAAGAUGAUGACCUGUGGUUGACUCUGAGACAUAAACACAUUGCUGAAGUUUCAACGGCUGUGACUCGCUCUCUGAAAGAAUUUUCUGCCAGCAAAAAAAUGAACACAGGAGAAAAGACCACUAUGAAGGAACUGUCACAGAUGCUGAAGAAAAUGCCUCAGUAUCAAAAGGAACUAAGCAAAUAUUCAACCCACCUUCACCUGGCUGAAGAUUGUAUGAACCGCUACCAGGGAACGGUUGACAAACUCUGCCGUGUGGAACAGGACCUUGCAAUGGGCACUGAUCCAGAGGGUGAGAAGAUAAAAGAUCCCAUGAGGCUUAUUGUACCAAUCUUACUGGACACCAAUGUCAGCGUCUGUGACAAGAUUCGGAUCAUUCUGCUUUACAUCUUCCUCAAGAAUGGUGUGACAGAAGAAAACUUAUGUAAGUUGCUUCAGCAUGCCAGUAUCCCACCAGAGGACAGUGACAUAAUUUCCAACAUGGCACACAUGGGUGUGCCUAUCAUCUCUGAGGCCACUUCCAAGAAAACCAAAAAGCCUGAUCGUAAGGAGCGAAUCAGUGAGCAUACCUACCAACUCUCAAGAUGGACUCCUCUCAUCAAGGAUCUCAUUGAGGAUGCCAUUGAGGAUAAACUUGACACCAAGCAAUACCCAUACAUUUCCCAGAGACAGGCAUCAGCUAAAUCCAAUGCUCCAUCAAGUACUGCCCGCUAUGGUAACUGGCACAAAAACCGGGGCCCCACAGAGGUGAAGACGGGGCCAAGGGUUAUUGUCUUCAUUGUUGGAGGAAUGACCUACAGUGAGAUGCGCUGUGUGUAUGAGGUCACCCAAGCCAAUGGCAAAUGGGAGGCCCUAAUUGGUUCCACCCAUAUCCUUACACCUCCGAAAUACCUGAAGGAACUGCAGCACCCAGAUUUCAUGGACCCCAAUGCACCACCUGAGACCACCGGGGAGCAGUCAACCCAAUGAUACAUGGCGCUGCAUAUCCUACUCCCCAAACACGUUGUUGCUUUGUGAUUGGUCUGCACUCUCAGCGGUUCAGCUCAGAGAAAAUCAUUGGGCUUAGGACAAGAUGGAUUCUCGGGUUUUGUGAUCUCACAAAUACUGCGGGAAUUCAGCUUGCAGGCAAGGUUAAAAAGGAGCAACUGGAAAUGGUCACUCUUUCCUCAAUUUAAAAACCUCCAAAAGACUCAAAGAAGAAAGAAAACACUGAAGAGAAUUUCUGUAUUGCUUCGAAGCAGCCAAAUGGAUGGUUUCCCCACCUACAUCUACCCGCAGAUCUCUACAAAUACAAUAUUUAUACUCUCUAUGUUUCAUAUAAAGCACUUGCAAACCUUUUUUCUGUCAAUAAAUAUGAAUUGUGUUUGGUCAAAGUUUAUUUAGCUCGAAUAUUUUUUGUUUAUCUGUUUAUUUUAUUUAUUUAAUCAAUAAUUUAAUUUACUGUGCAGUGGUGUUUAUUUCUUAAUGUGAAAUAGUUUAGAUCUCGGAAUGAGGUUCAAAUGACAUCUCUUCAUCCACCAGCUGAUGUAAUGCAUGUGUUUUUUUUCAGUGGGGAGGUGUUGAAUUAUUCUUGAAAUAAAUGCUCUAGUUGACUUUACAGUGGUCAUAAAAGGAACCAAGUAUGACAGUUUGAAUACUAAACUAGAAAAUACUGCAGUUAAAUGUUAUGUUGAUUCAAAAUACAUAUUUGGGUGGCCAUUUUCAUACAUAGAUACCAACUUCCGCUGUUAUGUUUGAUCAUUUUCAAGAAAGCUUGUGUAAGGGUUUUGUUUUUGACAAUUGAUGUUCUCGUCUUUCAUUUUCUCUGUUUUCAUGUUUCCUUGAUUAUGUCAAUUGUAAUGCUUCUGAGGUCAGUAUUGUCUGUUUAUUUGUAUUCUAGAUACAAAAAGUCCUGAUGAAUAAUCUAGUUGAGGAAAAAUGCUAUCAUUAAAUCAAUGUUAGUAUAUUACUGUAACGUCCCUCCCGUUUGAUGUGCAUAUUCAAUGUGACACUUUUUAGAUGCACUGUAUGAAUUAAAUACUUUAAAA